UGCAGUCGAACGGUAGCAGGCCUUCGAGUGCUGACGAGUGGCGGACGGGUGAGUAAUGCGUAGGAAUCUGUCUUUUAGUGGGGAACAACCCAGGGAAACUUGGGCUAAUACCGCAUGAGCCCUGAGGGGGAAAGCGGGGGAUCUUCGGACCUCGCGCUAAGAGAAGAGCCUACGUCUGAUUAGCUAGUUGGUAGGGUAAAGGCCUACCAAGGCAACGAUCAGUAGCUGGUCUGAGAGGACGACCAGCCACACUGGGACUGAGACACGGCCCAGACUCCUACGGGAGGCAGCAGUGGGGAAUUUUUCGCAAUGGGGGCAACCCUGACGAAGCAAUGCCGCGUGGAUGAAGAAGGCCUUCGGGUUGUAAAGUCCUUUCGUGGGGGACGAAAAGGUGGUUCCUAAUACGAGCUGCUGUUGACGUG
rnacentral:rRNA from 1 species